rnacentral:rRNA from 1 species
UACAGAGGCCCCGAGCGUUGUUCGGAUUCAUUGGGCGUAAAGGGUGCGUAGGCGGCGGGGAAAGUCUGAUGUGAAAUCCUGGGGCUCAACCCUGGAACUGCAUUGGAUACUUCCUUGCUAGAGUACUGGAGAGGAAACUGGAAUUUACGGUGUAGCAGUGAAAUGCGUAGAGAUCGUAAGGAAGACCAGUGGCGAAGGCGAGUUUCUGGACAGUUACUGACGCUGAGGCACGAAGGCCAGGGGAGCAAACGGG